rnacentral:lncRNA from 1 species
AACUCUGCCCGUCAGGGGGUGAUCGCCUGGGAGCGAGACAAGAGGGAGGCCGGUCAGACAUGGGACAAUGCCCCGCUCCCCUCGGUGACCCCCUCUCGCCCUCUGAGUGACCACACCGAGCCUCGGAACCCAGGGGGUCUGNNNNNNNNNNNNNNNNNNNNNNNNNNNNNNNNNNNNNNNNNNNNNNNNNNNNNNNNNNNNNNNNNNNNNNNNNNNNNNNNNNNNNNNNNNNNNNNNNNNNNNNNNNNNNNNNNNNNNNNNNNNNNNNNNNNNNNNNNNNNNNNNNNNNNUGUGCGGCUGUGCUGUCGACGCUUGGCUGUGGCCCAGGCAGCCCUGUGGUGCUCGGGGCCAGGCCCAGAGCCUGACAUAGGGACCCAGCCUGCAACUCUGCGACCCCUCACAAGACAGAACCACCAGGGACGUCCUGACGGGCACGGUGCUGACAGAGCCCUGCGGGGCGCAAGACACAGUCAAGGGUGCCCAAGGAGAGCUGGGCGGGAGCAUACACUCGGGGGUCGCCCCGUGGACCCAGAGCCUUCACUGCCAAGGGCCCCAUGGCCUGGGGCUGCCACGACACACGUGUUUCCCGGCACUGCCCAGCAAAGAGGCCCACGUGGUAUGGAGCAGGCCUCAGGGGCAGCCGGUCAGUCCAGGCAGGAGGGCAAUCGAGGAGCCUUGCUCCCCCCACGCCAGGGCCACCCGGCCCCCACAUGGGCUGAGAGCCAGGGGCAGGGAGGUCUGGGGUCACCAGAGGGUAAACAUGCCAAGGAGGGGUGUCCCAGGCCAGGGGGUGUCCUGUGCCACACAGACUCACUGGAGGUGCGGGAGCGCCGGCUUCUCUGGCCGGGGCAGGACGGGAGGCCGGUCUGCAGCCUCGGGCAUGGGCAGCUUCAGCAGAGGCGGCCGGGGGGCCACAUGGGGCACACGGGGUCCAGGCCUGGCCACCUCCCCCGGGGGACUCUCUUCUACCAUCUUCAGGAACUUGGGCUUGUUGGCUGGCACAGGCGGGGGGUCUGGGGAAAAGAAAAGUCCCUCUAGCUCCUGUCAUUACGGCACAGAGAGACAAACAGAAAGAAGAGCACUUAGAGAAUCUGAGUUUCUGGCUAUUUCCUGGCCAACCUGGCCGAGCCCCUUAACCUUCUGGAGUCUCAGCUACUUCAUCUGUGAAACGGGGACAGCAACAUCAUCCCUGAUUAUCAUACAGAACUGUUGUGAGGACUAAAUAACAGAAUGUGCAAAAAAUGUAUUUAAAGUUGUAUAAAAAAGAAAGAUUCAUACCAUAAAAAAUAUUCCAGGUGCAGGAAAAAAAAAAUGUCCCUCUUCCCGGUGCCCACUGGCAGCCACAGGGCCCUGGAGCCUCCCCUGUCUUCCGCCUGCAGACCUGCCACUGGGCUGGAAGCCAGGAUGUGCACAAAGGCCCAGAAUCACUUCCCAAGGGUCCCCGUCCUGCCACUGACACCAUGGGACCCGUGGGUUCCCCCAGGCAGACAAGGCCAGGCCCUCCUCAGGGGACCAGAGUGUAGUGACCCCAAGGCCUGGGUGGUGUGACCCCAAGACCUAGACCCAGGAAUCACACCCUCCGAGGCUGCGGGCAGGCCCGCACACGCCAACACGCCCCAUCCCAUCCGGGCGCCUGGUCCACGGCCCAGCGGACCAUUAGUCACAAAGCCCCUGGGGGGCAGGCUCGUGGCUGAUUAAAGCCCCAGCGCACAGCCUGGGCCCGCAGGCUGGGCUCCCGGCCAAAAGGAGGUGGCAGUGGGGGAGAGGGCGAGGCAUGGGGAAGAAGGGAGACUUAAGGGAGACUGGAGAGUUCCAACCCUGGAGGAGGCCCUCGCCUCGCCCCCAGGCCCUUGGCCAACCCUGAGGGCUGGCUUUCAGGAGAGGAGGGACUGGCAGAGGUGGGGCUGGUCCAAAGGGCUGGGGUCGCAAACAGGAAGGCCUGGGCCCACCUUAGUGGGAGCCGGGGGGAGCCACUGCCCCCGGCAGCACGGUCAGCGCACUUCCCGGUUGUAGCCGCUCAGCGAGAAGGCGCCCUGCGGCGAGGCGGACGUGCUGCUCUUGAAGUAGUAGAUGCAACGUUUGUGGAUGACCACAAAGCGCAGGGGCCCUGCGGGCGGGGCGGGGCGGGCGAGCCUCAGUCCUGGGCAGGCCCCACUCUGGGGACCAUGCCCAGAGGCCCAGGAUGGCUCCAGGCCAGAGUCUACAUGGGCAGCAGGUCGAUGGGCAUGCAGGCCCCUCCGGGGGCAGGGGGAGAUUCAGGGGACUGUGUGACGCGCCUAGGAACAAGGACUAAAGCUGGCUCAAGGAAGGGCAGACGGGGCCAGCAGCCAGGGAAGCCAGAGCCACCUCGCUGGUGCUGCCCAGCUGCUGGGAGGUGGUGGAAUGAGGGCGGGGGCAAAAAACCCCAGAGAUGCUGCCAACAAGAGUGCCCCACCCCCAUCGCCCAACAUGGAGCUGACCCCAGGUAGUGAUGGUGAGAGCCCCAUCCCUGAGCAGCUCCUCCUAGGCCCGGGAGCAGCUCAGCUGCAGGCCCUCGUUGGAGCCUCCAGUUCAGAAGAGGAGAAGGGAGACACCAAACCAGUCAGCCUGGGGCACCUCAACCAGGCAGCACAGAGUCAGGGAGUCCCUGGCAGAGGGCACAGCUCGAGCAACCCCAUGGGACCUCGCAGCUGGUUAGAGGGACGGACAAGGCCCUGAUGCUCUUGGGCCUUCAGUGUCUCGAAGCCCGGCACCUCCCAGGCCUGGGGGCUCCCCCUCUCCCAGUCUGCUGUCCUAGGGACCAGAGCCCCGGUCUCAUGAAGCUCUCCAGAGACCCAGCGCCCAGAUGGGUGUUGGCUUGGCACCUGGGUUCACUACGGACAGAGUGACUGAUUCACUGAACACCGAACUGAUACGGUGAGGGCACCAUCCAGGAGCCAGACCUACCAGACCAACAAGGGCCCACAGCUCCUGGCCAGCUGGUCAGCAUUGUGUGUCCGAUGCCCUCCAGUCUCCCCCAGCUGCAUCACCACAGACCCUCCCACAGCCCUGGGGGCUAAAAAGGACAAGUUCAGGGCACGGGGGUGCAUGAGCAGAGACAGACGGGAAACUCCAGAGGGCCCAUGGCGAGGAAGGAAGCAGAGGCGCAGGAAGGCGGGUUACCUGCCACAGAGGCCCAAGAAGGCUCAGCCCUAUCCCCGGGGCCUCCCUUCAUGCCCCCCACCCCCACACAGGAGACUCACAUUUGAGUAGCUGCAGCUGGGUCCCGCCUUUCUUGUGCAGGUAGCCAGCCUUGGCCACACCCCCAGGCAUGGUGAGCAAGUUCUGCGCACCGAUGGCCUUCAUAGGCACAGGCCAGUGCGUCUCUUCAGCCGCCAUGAAGCUACGAUACAAAGGGAAGGGGACGUGUCUUAGCUGGGGAUGGGAACACACUACUGCCGGCCGUGGCCAGGACAACCGUGUGUUGGCUUGGCUGGGACACACCCCGUCAGCCUGGGGCAUCACUCAGGAAGGGACCACAUAGUGCGGUCACCGGGGACAGGCUGCCUGCCUAGGGGUUGACACAGGACCCUCCAUCCCGGGACCCCACUCCACGGCCUCUUCCUCCUGUUCCAGCCGCUCUCCCAGAAAUCUGGCAGGCUCUUCCAGUCUCACACUUCCAGCCUGCGCCUGGAAUGACUGCUAUCCCUCCUCACAGGGAGAACUCCUACUCGUCCCUCAAAUCGAAGAUUCAGAUGCCCUCCUCUGUGAGGCACCUCAAUGCCCAGUCACAUUCCAGCUCACCCUCUACUCCUGGUCCCUCUGAACUGCAGCCCGGACCCUGUGCUGUUAUCUCCAGUGCCUGGCCCCCUCCCACCCGCACCUGGUCCCUCCUGGGUCCACAGUGAAGCUGGAGGAGUCAGGGUCAGACCCAGAAGCCCAGUCUUACUGGAACUGCUGCCCCAUCCUCAGACACACACACACACACACCCCCAGAGAAAACCACUGCUCUCGGCAAACCUGAGUGCUCCACCGAACGUUGGCUGCCUCCCGUCUGCCCGGACGCCUACUCCUCCCUGGGGCCCCGGCCUCGGCCUCUGCCCAGGUCCCGAGGGCUGCCCCUCCAGCUUCCCCUGCACACAAAGCCAGCCCUCGGUCCUGCGUCCCGCAGCAGCGGAGGCUAUGACAAAA